rnacentral:tRNA from 1 species
GUUUUAGUAGUUUAUAAUAAAAACACUGGUCUUGUAAAUCAGUAAAGAGAUAUAAAUUCUCCUUGAACU